AUACGUAGGGAGCGAGCGUUGUCCGGAAUUACUGGGUGUAAAGGGUGCGUAGGCGGGACUGCAAGUCAGAUGUGAAAUGCCGGGGCUCGACCCCGGAUCUGCAUUUGAAACUGUGGUUCUUGAGUGAGGUAGAGGUAAGCGGAAUUCCUAGUGUAGCGGUGAAAUGCGUAGAUAUUAGGAGGAACAUCGGUGGCGAAGGCGGCUUACUGGGCCUUUACUGACGCUGAGGCACGAAAGCGUGGGGAGCAAACAGGAUUAGAUACCCUGGUAGUCCACGCUGUAAACGAUGAUGACUAGGUGUGGGGGGACUGAACCCUUCCGUGCCGCAGUUAACACAAUAAGUCAUCCACCUGGGGAGUACGGCCGCAAGGUUGAAACUCAAAUGAAUUGACGGGG
rnacentral:rRNA from 1 species